UGCGGAAUCCGGAGGAAGUCCACGUCUCCGCGUUUUACUAGCAGCUUGAGGAAGAGUAAGGAAAGUGCAGGGGAGGGAAACUGUCGGCUCAGGCUUUCUUCAGGUAAUGGAGUUCCCUCCAGGUGAGAGAACCUGGACCUGAAAGGAAAAGAGAAUGUGCCGCUGGGCAGAGGAUGGGCAAUCCUGCUACCCGAGCCGGCCAGCACCGAGACUUUCUGGAAACAGUGCUGGUGAAUUCAGAACUUAAGGAAUAAAACUGGAACUGAACGAGGAUACAGAGGAUCCUGUGGGAUGACGGACUCAGCUAGGAAAUUCUUCUGCUUCAUGUGAUGUUG